GCCGANNCCGGUGCGGGCUUGAGAGAAGGAGCCCGGAGAUGGACACUGAGAAAAGGGUCCAGGCCCUACGGGGCGCAGCAGGCGCGAAAACUUUGCAAUGUGCGAAAGCACGACAAGGUUAAUCCGAGUGCAACAUGCUGAAUGUAGCUUUUGGUAAAUGUAAAUAGUUUAUUGAAUAAGGGGAGGGAAAGUCUGGUGUCAGCCGCCGCGGUAAUACCAGCUCCCCGAGUGGUCGGGACGAUUAUUGGGCCUAAAGCAUCCGUAGCCUGUUCUGUAGGUCUUAUGUUAAAAUCAAUUGCUCAACAAUUGAACUGCAUGAGAUACCACAAAACUAGGAGGCGGGAGAGGUGGACGGUACUCCACGGGUAGGGGUAAAAUCCUCUGAACCGUGGAAGACCACCAGUGGCGAAGGCGGUCCACCAGAACGCGCUCGACGGUGAGGGAUGAAAGCUGGGGUAGCGAACCGGAUUAGAUACCCGGGUAGUCCCAGCUGUAAACGAUGCAAGCUAGGUGAUGCAUCAGCCACGUGUUGAUGCAGUGCCGCAGGGAAGCCGUUAAGCUUGCCGCCUGGGGAGUACGGUCGCAAGGCUGAAACUUAAAGGAAUUGGCGGGGGAGCGCCACAAGGGGUGAAGCCUGCGGUUCAAUUGGAGUCAACGCCGGGAACCUUACCAGGAGAGACAGCAGAGUGAAGGUCAAGCUGAAGACUUUACCAGACAAGCUGAGAGGAGGCGCAUGGCCGUCGACAGCUCGUGCCGUGAGGCGUCCUGUUAAGUCAGGCAACGAGCGAGACCCUUGCCAUUAAUUGCUUCCAUCGAUCGAAAGGUUGGCGGAGCUAGUUAAUGGGACUGCCGUUGAUAAAACGGAGGAAGGAAGGGGCCACGGCAGGUCAGUAUGCCCCGAAACUCUUGGGCCACACGCGGGCUGCAAUGGUAGGCACAAUAGGUACCGAAUUCGAGAGAAUGAGGCAAUCCCAAAAUCCUACCCCAGUUGUGAUUGAGGGCUGCAACUCGCCCUCAUGAAUCUGGAAUCCCUAGUAACCGCGUGUCAACAUCGCGCGGUGAAUACGUCCCUGCUCCUUGCACACACCGCCCGUCGCUUCACCCGAGUUGGGUUUGGGGGAGAUAGUGUCUUAUUGACAUUAUCGAACCUNNUUCGACANGGGGGAGAAGUCGUANAGG
rnacentral:rRNA from 1 species